GUGGCUGUGGCGCAGUGGUAGCGCACCUGAUUGUGGCUCAGGUGGUCGUGGGUUCAAAUCCCAUCAGCCACCCCA
rnacentral:tRNA from 1 species